GCCGUCUUAGCUCAGUUGGCAGAGCGUAUGGCUUUUUACCAUAAGUUCGUGGGUUCGAUCUCCACAGACGGAA